rnacentral:pre_miRNA from 1 species
AUACUACUCCCUCCAUUCCAAAUUACUCGUCGCAGAAACGGAUGUAUCUACAAUUAAAAUACAUCUAGAUACAUCCAUUUCUGCGACGAGUAAUUCGGAACGGAGGGAGUACUAU